GACGAACGCUGGCGGCGUGCUUAACACAUGCAAGUCGAACGGAAAGGCCCUGCUUUUGUGGGGUGCUCGAGUGGCGAACGGGUGAGUAACACGUGAGUAACCUGCCCUUGACUUUGGGAUAACUUCAGGAAACUGGGGCUCAUACCGGAUAGGAUCUCCUGCUGCAUGGUGGGGGUUGGAAAGUUUCGGCGGUUGGGGAUGGACUCGCGGCUUAUCAGCUUGUUGGUGGGGUAGUGGCUUACCAAGGCUUUGACGGGUAGCCGGCCUGAGAGGGUGACCGGCCACAUUGGGACUGAGAUACGGACCAGACUCCUACGGGAGGCAGCAGUGGGGAAUAUUGCACAAUGGGCGGAAGCCUGAUGCAGCAACGCCGCGUGCGGGAUGACGGCCUUCGGGGUGUAAACCGCUUUCGCCUGUGACGAAGCGUGAGUGACGGUAAUGGGUAAAGAAGCACCGGCUAACUACGUG
rnacentral:rRNA from 1 species